UACGUAGGGUGCGAGCGUUAAUCGGAAUUACUGGGCGUAAAGCGUGCGCAGGCGGUUGUGCAAGACAGACGUGAAAUCCCCAGGCUCAACUUGGGAACUGCGUCUGAUACUGGAUGGCUUGAAUUCGGGAGAGGGAUGCAGAAUUCCAGGUGUAGCGGUGAAAUGCGUAGAUAUCUGGAGGAACACCGGUGGCGAAGGCGACGUCCUGGACCGGCAUUGACGCUGAGGCGCGAAAGCCAGGGGAGCAAACGGG
rnacentral:rRNA from 1 species